rnacentral:rRNA from 1 species
UACGGAGGGUGCGAGCGUUGUCCGGAAUUACUGGGCGUAAAGAGUGUGUAGGCGGUGCUCUAAGUUCGGUGUGAAAUCUCCUGGCUUAACUGGGAGGGUGCGCCGGAAACUGGGGUGCUCGAGCGUGGGAGAGGAAAGCGGAAUUCCUGGUGUAGCGGUGAAAUGCGUAGAUAUCAGGAGGAACACCUGUGGUGUAGACAGCUUUCUGGACCAUUGCUGACGCUGAGACACGAAAGCGUGGGUAGCAAACAGG